UUCUGCGGCAUGGACGACAUCUACUGCAUCUUCCGGGGCAGCCUGAACAACCUGUGCAGCCUCAUCAAGCAGUACGGCCUGAACAAGGGCGCGAACGAGGCCAUACUCGUGGUCGAGGCCUACCGGACCCUCCGCGACCGGGGCCCAUACCCGGCCGACCAGGUCCUCAAGGACCUGGACGGCGACUACAGCUUCGUGCUCUACGAUGGCAAGGCCAGGACCGUCUUCGCUGCAUCCGUAAGCUCCUCAACAACAUUCAAUUCUGUUCAUUUUAGGAAAAAAAAAAUUGAAAUUCUUUAAAUCUGAAAUUUUUUCCAAUUCUUGAUGAUGAAUAUAGGGAGCGGAAGAAGGGGUGAGGCUGUUCUGGGGGAUUGCAGCAGACGGCUCUCUAGUGAUCUCGGACAACUUGGAGGCCGUGAAAGGGAGCUGUGCCAAGUCGUUUGCUCCAUUCCCAGCAGGUUCGUAUGCUGUAAAUAUUUUUGAAUAAUUAGAAAAAUCAAGAGAUUAACAGUUCAAAUUAUUGAAAAUGUUUUGAAAAAAAUGAGAGAAUAUGCUUCAUAGUUAAAUUACUGAAAUUGGGUUCUUUUUAUUUUUAACGUUAGAGAAUAUGCUUAAUAAUUAAAAUUACUGAAAAUAUCUUUUAAGGUUUGUGAACUGUAAAUAUCUUUCAAUAAUAAGGAAAAUCGCGAUAUUAAUGAUUCCAAUUGUUGAAAAUGUUUUGAAAAAAUGGAGAGAAUAUGCUUGAUAAUUAAAUUACUGAAAAUGGGUUUAUUUUGUAACUUUUUUAUUUUUAUUUUUGGGUGCAGGAUGUAUGUUUCAUAGCGAGCAUGGAUUGAUGAGCUUCGAACAUCCAAGGAACAAGGUGAAGGCGAUGCCAAGAAUCGACAGCGAGGGAGUCAUGUGCGGGGCCAAUUUCAAGGUCGAUGUCCAGUCCAAGGUUCACGCUAUGCCACGCGUUGGGAGUGAAGCCGACUGGGCAGUUUGGGGCCAAAAUGCAUUAUAAUAAUCCCUUAGGAAGAAACCCAUUUUAAGCAAAGAUCGAAAGUUCGAUUCUGCCUUUGUAAUUUUCUUUUUUCAAUUUCCUGCUUGGAUUUUUCGUUGUCAUUUCUUCUUCUUCUUUUCUUCUUCUUCUUCUUCUACUCUCGAGCUGACUUUGGUGGGUUUCCCAUUGGGAAAGUUGCACGUCUUUUCUGCUUAUGUACAUGUUUGACCCUUUAGAACAUUAAUAAAAAUGAUCUGAAUUUGGUAGCGAAAAUUAGCUUAUAGAACAUGAACUUAAUUCGUUUGUAUCUGAAAUUUCGGUUUUCAUCAUAUAUCAUCUUCAUUGGAAGGUGUAAUUGGGAUUCCCUGGUUUUCAUCUUUUUAUAUUUGUCGUGUUUGAUUUGUUUUGUGCAUUUAUUUCAUCGCUUCAAAUUGUCUAAUUGACUACAUACUGCCUGAUUCUUGAUGAACAGCUUUUGGGUUACUGAGCAAUUUGACUCAACUUGCAUGUGGCAAUCACCCAAAUUUUGUUGGCUCAUUUUCUCGAGAGAUCAAUGGGGAUGGUGAUAAGAGACGGAAGAUGGACUAUGUUCUUUGACAUGGUCUACUCAGCUUUGCUGCUUACAUUUUAAUUUUUCUUUCAUUUCUACACAUCAACUUUACAGAGUAUCAAUUUUACCAAAAAAAAAAAAACUUUACAGAGCAUCAAGUGGAUAAAGUGAGAAAAAUGAAUAAAUCAUUCCGAAAGCAAGAAUGAUCUUAUCAUGUAAUUUAUUCUUGACAUGUAGAGCACUCUGCUUUUAGCAAUAUCAAAAGAUUGCCUGUGCCAUACACAAGGCAAUAUUCUUUAUAUGAUCUAUUUUCAUCAAAGGAAAAUGUAAAUAAAAAGCAAAACAGAAGUUUAUUGAUACAUUAAGAGAAUUUGAAUAGCUCUUAUAUUAUUAGUCAAUUAAUGAAAAGCUUAGGAGUUAAUAUUGUAAGAAACUUAUUUCCAGAGACUUUCAUGUCCUUCUAACUUUUUUAAUGGCCAUGGUCAAUUUGCCAAAAAAAAAAAAAUAUCAUAAUUAUUCAUAAUAUGCAGUGCCACAUUUUGUAACCUUUUCAAAGUGGUUUAUAUACUCGACAGACAAUGUCUAAAGAAGUCAGUGGUAUGAUGUCCAACAAUAAUGUGAAACGUUAGCAAUGAAGCAUAACUUAAAGUUUGCUCACCUAUCAAGUACUCUUCUCCGUGAUUUUAAGGCAAAUGUUGAUUUCUAUUUUCUGUUUAGUCGGACUAAUGUAUGCUGAUGAAUCCAAACUGUAUCUUGACUAUGAAAUGAUAUAAAGAAAAGCACUUACAUCAAAUGCGUUACAAAUGAAGUUCUUAUUACACAUAUUAAUCCCAUAUCUUAUGGAAAAUAAGGUCAUCAAACAUUAAGUUAAAGAAAAGGCUCCAGUUAACAACAUUGGCCAACAAAAGUAAUGUGAUGGUAUAUUUGGAUUGAUAUAUUGAAGAAAGAAAUUACUUUAAAACAGUAGCGUUGAUUUGUUUGAAAAAUGAAAAAGAAAAAAAGAAGAAGAAAAAACAGCAACUACGUCCCUAUGCUUCAAUUUCACCUACUCUGACUUGGCUACUCUCACUAUUAUGAGGUCAACACUUGGUCGACCAACCAUGUUUAGUGUACUAAGAUUGUCUUCAAACCGAAGAUAUGCCAAUUUUGUAAAGCUAAUUAUGGAUUUAGCAAUCAGAAAUAGUCCAUUUAAACUCUCCAACAUAAGACAAAGCCCAAAAAAUAUCAGGGAACCUAGUCGUAUGAUAUGGGCACAACAACUUUCUGCAUAGCCAUUGCAAACAAAAAAUCAAGAGGACAUACCUCCCAAUCUGGCAACAGAUCAUAACUUUUGGCCUCUGUUAUGUCAAACACAGUAAUGCCUGUAAUUCUCUGAACUCCAAAUUUAGUAGCAAUUAAAUUCUGCACAAAAUGAAGGUGACUGGAGAAAUUAUUUUUGGAAGAGAAACAAGUAGAUAAGAUAUGAAAGGUACAAGCCAGACUUGAGUAUUUAGCCAAAUGAAAUGAAAAAGGUACAGGCAGUAGAUAUGUUGCAUAUAAAUUGAUGACAUAGUCGGUGUUCACUAUUAAUGAGGAUUUAUUAAGCACUGUACUAUUCAUCCACAUAAUUAUAUCAAGGCCCGUUUGGUAACGUUUCUGUUCAAAAAUUGUUUAAGGGAACAGAAAUAGAAAAAACUAUUUCUGCUCCGAUGAACAAUUUUUGAACAGAAGAAUGUGUUUGGUAAACUUGUUCCGGGAAUAAAAAAUAAAUAGAAACACGUUUGGUAAAUUUGUAUUCUUUUUUUGUUUAUUUUAAUUUUAAAAUAUUUUUAUUCUAUUUUUAUUUCUUUCUUUUUUCUUUUUUUUUCUUCUUUUGGCUGGUCGCCGGCCUCGCCUUGGCUGGGCGAGCUUGGGCUCACCCAGCCUUGCCUCGCCUUGGCUAGGCGAGCUCGGGCUCGCCGAAUCUAGGCGAGCCCAAGCUCGCCCUACCACCGGCGAGGCUCGGCCUAGCCGAGUCACCGCUAGGCCGACAAGCCUUAGCAGGGGCCGGCGACGCUCCAGCAAGGUCGCCGGCCCUCAACGGUCGGUCAUCGGCCAUGGCCGAGGCCGGCGACCGGCCAAAGAAAAAAGAAAAAGAAAAGAAGAAAAAAAAAGAGAAGAAAAAGAGAGGAGAGAGAAAAUUUGUUUUUAAAAACUGUUCCAAAAACAAGAAACAUGUUUUUCUUAUUUCUUGUUUCUGUUCCAAAUGUGUUCCUGAAAACAAAAAAAUAGAUUUGGAACAAAAAAACAUAAAUUUUGUUCAUAAACAGAAAAAAAGAACGUUAACAAACAUGGCCUAUAUCAUCAAGAGCUGGAACCCCCCCCCUCCCAAAAAAAGGAAAAAAGAAAAAGAUACAAACAUCCACAAAAAGAAAAAAAAAAAAAGCUAAUGAUUGAACCGUUUUUGUUGUGAUAAAGGAUUUUGUGCGAUCUUAUCGAUUGAAAUGUUCUUUAUAUAAAAAUCAAAGAUAAGUGCACUAAAAAUCUUAAAAUUUGUAGGAAAACAACUGCCCAAUGGCUUGCUGCUUUUAUCUUAAAAAAUUUUCUUGCAAUAUCCUUCUUUCUUUUAUCUAUUUUUUAAAACUUUUUACUAUAUAUAUGGAGAAAAUAAUAAUAAAAUUUCCUUUUUUUUAGCAAAAAAAAAAAAAGUCAUGCUGGUAUUUUUCGUUAGCCAAAUUGUAAAGUUAAUGAAAGAGGGACUUGAUUACUUCAAUUUGACAAAUUUUAUGAUCUAAUUGCAUUUUCUUUCGUAACGAGUUUGAAGACUCCUAGCGCACAUAUCCUAUAAGUAUACAAGUUAAAUUUCUAUAAAUAUAAAAUUCUAUCCCACCUAUAGUGUAUGUUAUGAAGUAUAUUAGAUAUUUUACAACUAAAAGCUCAUUGAAAGAGUAGCUCUCAAACUAUAAAGCUUGCAACACCAGCAAAACGUAGGAGUGAUCGAUUUCAGAUUGGAUAGGCUCUCUCAAGGCCGGUUUCCAAUUUUUAGGACCGGAAAUCAACCCCAAUCGAUCUUUUCCCCAGUUGAUCCAAGACUCGACCUAGGAUCGCACCAGUCAAUUCCAUAGGAAACCAGCCUAUCCCCCAAAAGCACAUCAACUACUGGCAAAGAAACAGAAGUGGAGCAACUCAUUCAAAUGUUUCACCCACGAUGUCAAAAUGACAAGAAACUCAAAAAAUGCUGGGGAAGCAGUAUUGCUGAAACGCACAUUUCGCAUGACUAUGGUACAUACGAAGGAACGUCAAAGGGGCAGAAGCAAUGAGUCAAGAGAUCAGCGAACGAAAAACUGAAGAAAAAAGAAGGUCGGACUCGAGAAGAAUGGUAUGGUGUUGGGACCAGAGGACGAUGCUGAUGCUACUCCUCCAAUCACUUGAACUCUAUGCCAUCAAUGCUCGUUCAUCAAGUCGUACAACUGCCGGCAAAGAGAGAGAGAGAGAGAGAGAGAGAGAGAGAGAAAGAGAUGUUAAGAUUAGAGGUGAACUGAUUCAAACUGGUUCAACUCCCAAUCUUAGAAACUGAGAACUAGACCAGUCCCUAUGUGAACUGGCCGGAUAAGGCAGGUUCAGGUCAUUUCUCGUGUUGAAUUGACCAAGUCGCUCAGUCCUAAAAUGUGGAAUCUUUAUUCCGUGGGCCAAUUGUGAAGGGAAUAUUACGUGUCAAUUUGAAAAACCUUCCACAUAUUUAUCACACGACGCACUCCUCUCUCCCUCCUUCCAUGUAUGAAGUAGAGAAUCUUCUCUUGAGACUGAGUACAAAGAAAGAGACAUAUGGAAUAAAAAACAUGCGGUUCAUCGCGAAUCGACAUUUUUUUUCAUGCCUAUAUAUAUUUUCUAGUAGACCCUUAGAAGAAAGAAAAAAGAAAAUAAAACCAAACCGAACCAGACCGCAAACUGAAUAACUUUCAUUUCAAAUCAUAAUUUAUGAAUUCAACCUAAAAAGCCAUAGAACCGUCCUUGAACAUCUAAAUCAAUUUCGUCCCCUCGCCACCAGACCCUUUGCCUCGACCGGCCCACCCAUUAUCAUGGCUUGUAAUCAUGCUCGGUUCAGAUCGAAACCAUCUGGGAUGAGCAAUUAGGAACUCGAAUCGGGAACCCGAGAUGGUUCGAGCCCCCAAAAAGAUUUGGGCCGGAGACUCAAAAUGCCAUCUCCCGAAGCCUGCCCGACUCGCCCAUUUGCAACCAAUUGGGGACAAUCGAAAUACAUUGGAUCUAACUGAAGGCCCACAUUCAUCCAUAAUGAUCCGAAGGACUCUUCAUAGCCCAACCUUUUUGUGCACCCUAAUUCUUAUCCUUUCUCUCUCUCGGGCCUUGAUUUGGGCCCAAGGCCCACGAAUCAGGCCCAGCAGAUAGUCAAACGGAGUGUGGUCAACGGCAGGAUCGCCAGAUUCUGUGUGGGGACUGGGCCAGUGCACUUUCUUUAUUUUAUUAUUAUUUUAUUAUAUAUUCUGAAUUUUUAAUUUAUUUUUAUUAUUUUUCUGGAUUUUUUAAUUCCCGGAAAAGGAAUUAAAAACUAAAUAAAAGGAAAAUUAACGGAAAAGAGGGGUAGAAGAAGACGUGGAGAUGAAUGGGAUAAGACGAGAUAGCCGACACGGCUGACUCGGAUCGGCGUCAAUAAGUGUCACAUCCGCUUCUUGUGGAUAAGGCCACUUUUUGACCACUUCCUCGUACUUCUAAAACAUAAAUAAUUUAUUACCCAAAAAAAAAAAAAUGCUGCUAUUGCUUUUAUAUAUAGAUAACAUUUUUCUGUGCUAGAUCAACAUUCGAGAUAACGCCCUCUUUUUGUUUUUAAUAUUUCUUCUAAAUUUUUUUUUCUUUUUUUAACAAAAAUAUAAAAAAAGAAAGGAAAUUUACGAAACUAGAAUAAAAUUUCUCAAUGAUUUCAAGAGAUGGGUUGUAUCAAUUUAUUUUUUACUCAGAUUUAAUUUUUUUUGUCGAUCUUUCGAUCAUUUUAUUGAUCUAGAGAUGUAAGCUUAAUCUUUACUCAUAAGCGAACUCGUUAAAAAUCUUCAAAUAUUUUCAAUAAGUAAAUUAUCCAAUUAAUAUCAUAUUCAUUUGAGCAAUUCAUGCAGUUUCAAUCGCUUUGAUUACAUGAAAGCAAACCAACACGAACGCUCCUCGCUCCUCCAGGCUUCAUCACCAUCUACACAAACAAACAAAAGAAAAUUAACUAAAUUUGACCAUACCAAUUUCGAAUAAAUUUACACGUGGCCUGUUGUCAUUGGGCCCACCAUUCCGGAUAAUGUUUCCACGUUGACCACCCCCCCGGCGCUAUAUAAAUACGCACCGAAGACGGACAGAUCUUCACCAUCAUCAUCACUUCAUCCCGUCUUCUUCAACCCACCGUUUCAUCGAUUUUCAGGGUCGAUUCCAAGCUCUGUCCAAGUUCGAGUUCUUGUUCUUUCUGUGGGAGUUUGAUUGUGGUAUUGCGAAAAAGGGAAGGAAAAUGCUGGGGAUAUUCAAGAAGGGCCUGGCUCACCCGCCGCAGGAGCUCAACAGCCCGCACCCGAUGCAGGCGGCGGCGGCGGCGGCAACGAGGGAGCCCAAGUUCCCGAGGGAGAUCUUGGAGGAUUUCCUGGCUACCCAUCAGUCCGGCAGCAGCGGCAGCAAUGCCUUCUCGGUCAGCUUCGAAGACGGCGCCCUGCUCGCUUACGCUCGCCCCGAGAAGUCCUACUCGGUCCAUCAAAGGUUAAUCUCUCUCUUUCUUGAGAGCAGUAAGUUUAGAAUGAUGCACAUUGGAGAGAGCAAGACUAUAAAUGUGACGCCUUUAUAAUGUGAUGGAUGGCAAUUUCCCUUGAAAUUGCAUCUAAGCAAAGCUAGAAUUGCAGAUGAAUUCAAAGUAUAGUCGACGUUUUUCGUGUCGUGCUUGUCGGGAGUCAUCUACUGUCUUAGCAAUGAAAACCAGUCUUUCUGAAUCAAAGUUCUUUUUUUUGGGAAUUCUGAAAUGGGAAGUUGUUGAAUUUUGAGGUGAAUGUGUUUUUUGGUCUUUCUGGGCAGAUUGUUCUGCGGCAUGGACGACAUCUACUGCAUCUUCCGGGGCAGCCUGAACAACCUGUGCAGCCUCAUCAAGCAGUACGGCCUGAACAAGGGCACGAACGAGGCCAUGCUCGUGGUCGAGGCCUACCGGACCCUCCGCGACCGGGGCCCGUACCCGGCCGACCAGGUCCUCAAGGACCUGGACGGCGACUACAGCUUCGUGCUCUACGAUGGCAAGGCCAGGACCGUCUUCGC
rnacentral:lncRNA from 1 species